rnacentral:rRNA from 1 species
AUUGAACGCUGGCGGCAUGCCUUACACAUGCAAGUCGAACGGUAACGGGCCUUCGGGUGCCGACGAGUGGCGAACGGGUGAGUAAUGCAUCGGAACGUACCUUUCAGUGGGGGAUAACGUAGCGAAAGUUACGCUAAUACCGCAUAUUCUGUGAGCAGGAAAGCAGGGGAUCGCAAGACCUUGCGCUGAUUGAGCGGCCGAUGUCAGAUUAGCUAGUUGGUGAGGUAAAGGCUCACCAAGGCGACGAUCUGUAGCGGGUCUGAGAGGAUGAUCCGCCACACUGGAACUGAGACACGGUCCAGACUCCUACGGGAGGCAGCAGUGGGGAAUUUUGGACAAUGGGGGCAACCCUGAUCCAGCCAUGCCGCGUGAGUGAAGAAGGCCUUCGGGUUGUAAAGCUCUUUCGGCCGGGAAGAAAUCGCAUCGGUGAAUACCCGAUGUGGAUGACGGUACCGUAAGAAGAAGCACCGGCUAACUACGUG